GGUUAAGCGACUAAGCGUACACGGUGGAUGCCCUGGCAGUCAGAGGCGAUGAAGGACGUGCUAAUCUGCGAUAAGCGCCGGUAAGGUGAUAUGAACCGUUAUAACCGGCGAUUUCCGAAUGGGGAAACCCAGUGUGAUUCGUCACACUAUCAUUAACUGAAUCCAUAGGUUAAUGAGGCGAACCGGGGGAACUGAAACAUCUAAGUACCCCGAGGAAAAGAAAUCAACCGAGAUUCCCCCAGUAGCGGCGAGCGAACGGGGAGGAGCCCAGAGCCUGAAUCAGCAUGUGUGUUAGUGGAAGCGUCUGGAAAGGCGCGCGAUACAGGGUGACAGCCCCGUACACAAAAGCGCAUGUGCUGUGAGCUCGAUGAGUAGGGCGGGACACGUGGUAUCCUGUCUGAAUAUGGGGGGACCAUCCUCCAAGGCUAAAUACUCCUGACUGACCGAUAGUGAACCAGUACCGUGAGGGAAAGGCGAAAAGAACCCCGGCGAGGGGAGUGAAAAAGAACCUGAAACCGUGUACGUACAAGCAGUGGGAGCACAGGUUUACCUGUGUGACUGCGUACCUUUUGUAUAAUGGGUCAGCGACUUAUAUUCUGUAGCAAGGUUAACCGAAUAGGGGAGCCGGAGGGAAACCGAGUCUUAAUUGGGCGUUAAGUUGCAGGGUAUAGACCCGAAACCCGGUGAUCUAGCCAUGGGCAGGUUGAAGGUUGGGUAACACUAACUGGAGGACCGAACCGACUAAUGUUGAAAAAUUAGCGGAUGACCUGUGGCUGGGGGUGAAAGGCCAAUCAAACCGGGAGAUAGCUGGUUCUCCCCGAAAGCUAUUUAGGUAGCGCCUCGUGAAUUCAUCUCCGGGGGUAGAGCACUGUUUCGGCUAGGGGGCCAUCCCGGCUUACCAACCCGAUGCAAACUGCGAAUACCGGAGAAUGUUAUCACGGGAGACACACGGCGGGUGCUAACGUCCGUCGUGAAGAGGGAAACAACCCAGACCGCCAGCUAAGGUCCCAAAGUCAUGGUUAAGUGGGAAACGAUGUGGGAAGGCCCAGACAGCCAGGAUGUUGGCUUAGAAGCAGCCAUCAUUUAAAGAAAGCGUAAUAGCUCACUGGUCGAGUCGGCCUGCGCGGAAGAUGUAACGGGGCUAAACCAUGCACCGAAGCUGCGGCAGCGACGCUGAUGCGUUGUUGGGUAGGGGAGCGUUCUGUAAGCCUGCGAAGGUGACCUGUGAGGGUUGCUGGAGGUAUCAGAAGUGCGAAUGCUGACAUAAGUAACGAUAAAGCGGGUGAAAAGCCCGCUCGCCGGAAGACCAAGGGUUCCUGUCCAACGUUAAUCGGGGCAGGGUGAGUCGACCCCUAAGGCGAGGCCGAAAGGCGUAGUCGAUGGGAAACGGGUUAAUAUUCCCGUACUUGGUGUUACUGCGAAGGGGGGACGGAGAAGGCUAUGUUGGCCGGGCGACGGUUGUCCCGGUUUAAGCGUGUAGGUGUGUGUUCCAGGUAAAUCCGGUUCACUUUAACACUGAGGCGUGAUGACGAGGCACUACGGUGCUGAAGCAACAAAUGCCCUGCUUCCAGGAAAAGCCUCUAAGCAUCAGGUAACAUCAAAUCGUACCCCAAACCGACACAGGUGGUCAGGUAGAGAAUACCAAGGCGCUUGAGAGAACUCGGGUGAAGGAACUAGGCAAAAUGGUGCCGUAACUUCGGGAGAAGGCACGCUGACACGUAGGUGAAGUGAUUUACUCAUGGAGCUGAAGUCAGUCGAAGAUACCAGCUGGCUGCAACUGUUUAUUAAAAACACAGCACUGUGCAAACACGAAAGUGGACGUAUACGGUGUGACGCCUGCCCGGUGCCGGAAGGUUAAUUGAUGGGGUCAGCGCAAGCGAAGCUCCUGAUCGAAGCCCCGGUAAACGGCGGCCGUAACUAUAACGGUCCUAAGGUAGCGAAAUUCCUUGUCGGGUAAGUUCCGACCUGCACGAAUGGCGUAAUGAUGGCCAGGCUGUCUCCACCCGAGACUCAGUGAAAUUGAACUCGCUGUGAAGAUGCAGUGUACCCGCGGCAAGACGGAAAGACCCCGUGAACCUUUACUAUAGCUUGACACUGAACAUUGAGCCUUGAUGUGUAGGAUAGGUGGGAGGCUUUGAAGUGUGGACGCCAGUCUGCAUGGAGCCGACCUUGAAAUACCACCCUUUAAUGUUUGAUGUUCUAACGUGGACCCGUAAUCCGGGUUGCGGACAGUGUCUGGUGGGUAGUUUGACUGGGGCGGUCUCCUCCUAAAGAGUAACGGAGGAGCACGAAGGUUGGCUAAUCCUGGUCGGACAUCAGGAGGUUAGUGCAAUGGCAUAAGCCAGCUUGACUGCGAGCGUGACGGCGCGAGCAGGUGCGAAAGCAGGUCAUAGUGAUCCGGUGGUUCUGAAUGGAAGGGCCAUCGCUCAACGGAUAAAAGGUACUCCGGGGAUAACAGGCUGAUACCGCCCAAGAGUUCAUAUCGACGGCGGUGUUUGGCACCUCGAUGUCGGCUCAUCACAUCCUGGGGCUGAAGUAGGUCCCAAGGGUAUGGCUGUUCGCCAUUUAAAGUGGUACGCGAGCUGGGUUUAGAACGUCGUGAGACAGUUCGGUCCCUAUCUGCCGUGGGCGCUGGAGAACUGAGGGGGGCUGCUCCUAGUACGAGAGGACCGGAGUGGACGCAUCACUGGUGUUCGGGUUGUCAUGCCAAUGGCACUGCCCGGUAGCUAAAUGCGGAAGAGAUAAGUGCUGAAAGCAUCUAAGCACGAAACUUGCCCCGAGAUGAGUUCUCCCUGAGACUUAGAGUCUCCUGAAGGAACGUUGAAGACGACGACGUUGAUAGGCCGGGUGUGUAAGCGCAGCGAUGCGUUGAGCUAACCGGUACUAAUGAACCGUGAGGCUUAACCUU
rnacentral:rRNA from 1 species